AACGAACGCUGGCGGCAGGCUUAACACAUGCAAGUCGAACGAGAUCUUCGGAUCUAGUGGCAGACGGGUGAGGAACACGUGGGAACAUCCCUUUCAGUUCGGAAUAACGUUGGGAAACUAACGCUAAUACCGGAUACGUCCUUCGGGAGAAAGAUUUAUCGCUGAAAGAUUGGCCCGCGUCUGAUUAGCUAGUUGGUGAGGUGAUGGCUCACCAAGGCUACGAUCAGUAGCUGAUCUGAGAGGAUGAUCAGCCACAUUGGGACUGAGACACGGCCCAAACUCCUACGGGAGGCAGCAGUGGGGAAUAUUGGACAAUGGGCGCAAGCCUGAUCCAGCCAUGCCGCGUGAGUGAUGACGGCCUUCGGGUUGUAAAGCUCUUUUGUCCGGGAAGAUAAUGGCUGUACCGGAAGAAUAAGCCCCGGCAAACUUCGUGCCAGCAGCCGCGGUAA
rnacentral:rRNA from 1 species